rnacentral:rRNA from 1 species
CCCUAUCGUUGAGCCGAAGACCGCUGGAACGGGUCACCGCAGGGGGUGAGAGUCCCGUAGGCGACCGAGGAUAGGGGGCUGUGAGCCCAGAUCGUGAGUACCGCCGGACACGAGACAUCCGGCGGGAAGCGGGGACGACCACGUCCCAAGGCUAAAUACCGCCAACGACCGAUAGUGCACCAGUACCGUGAGGGAACGGUGAAA